rnacentral:tRNA from 1 species
GUGCUCGUAGCUCAACUGGAUAGAGCGCCAGACUACGGAUCUGGAGGUUGGAGGUUCGACUCCUCUCGAGCGCACCA